rnacentral:rRNA from 1 species
AUGGGUUCGGUCCGUCUUUUCCUGAUCUUUGUUUGUCCCCCAAAAAAAGGCAUGAGAGGACGUUGCAGAUGUCCGGGACGGGCACAACUUCUUCUAACGCUAGAAGACCACAAGAAGAAACCCGGGACCAGAGCAUGUCGUGAAAGACGCACACGGGGCGGGCGUGCUUCGACCGUGUCUCCAGGGCACAGUUGA